AUUGAACGCUGGCGGCAGGCCUAACACAUGCAAGUCGAACGAGUGGCGGACGGGUGAGUAAUGUCUGGGAAACUGCCUGAUGGAGGGGGAUAACUACUGGAAACGGUAGCUAAUACCGCAUACCAUCGGAUGUGCCCAGAUUGGAUUAUCUAGUAGGUGGGGUAACGGCUCACCUAGGCGACGAUCCGUAGCUGGUCUGAGAGGAUGACCAGCAAAAAUGGAACUGAGACACGGACCAGAAUCCUACGGGAGGGAGCAGUGGGGAAUAUUGCACAAUGGGCGCAAGCCUGAGGCAGCCAUGCCGAGUGGAUGAAGAAGGCCUUCGGGUUGUAAAGUACUUUCAGCGGGGAGGCGUUACCCGCAGAAGAAGCACCGGCUAACUCCGUGCCAGCAGCCGCGGUAAUUC
rnacentral:rRNA from 1 species